UACGUAGGGCGCAAGCGUUGUCCGGAAUUAUUGGGCGUAAAGAGCUCGUAGGUGGCUUGUCACGUCGGGUGUGAAAGCUUGGGGCUUAACUCCAGGUCUGCAUUCGAUACGGGCUGGCUAGAGGUAGGUAGGGGAGAACGGAAUUCCUGGUGUAGCGGUGAAAUGCGCAGAUAUCAGGAGGAACACCGGUGGCGAAGGCGGUUCUCUGGGCCUUACCUGACGCUGAGACGCGAAAGCGUGGGGAGCGAACAGG
rnacentral:rRNA from 1 species